CCUUAUUUAAAACCAUGGGACCGUAAAAUAACACUAAGUCCAUAUACGGUACGGAGCCGCUGCUCCAUACAAGCAUGCCUAGAGCUGGCCCUACGAGUCCUACAUGUCUAUCUCCAACUUCCAUCUCUUCGGAAGUGCAUUUCUUGGUAUCUGGAAGUGGCAGUCCCAGUGAGAGUGGACUGGUGCUGUAGUUUAGAACAAAGACAACGCACACUGGAGGAUGGGUAUCAACUUCAAUGUAAGACAGUGGGGUAAAGGGACCAAGAUAAUGGUCAGUUGGGCCGGUAUCCUUUUUCUCGGGGUGUCGUCCUUCAUUCUGACGAAACGCCAAGUGGACAGAAAUCGCUACAACAUCAUGAAGAGCAAAGAGAGGAUGCUGAAUGCCAAUUUGUCAGUGGAAGACUCGGAGAGUGUUAGAUACAAAUAACCCACACCUCUUGUGGGUUAUGAACUUUGGACUCUGUGAACCUUCUGGAGUUCCCUCAGCAGAUGUUGCCAGCCUUCAUGCACUAAUCAUGGACUUCAUGUAUCUAUGGGUCUGGCCGUAGCCACAAGAAUUAUACCAUUCCUGGGUGUUCUCCUGUCGAAAUUGUCCUGCUCCAUGCUUUUCCCAAGUUGAUAGGGUCUUUAUUUGCUCUUCUGUAGUGUCGCAUAACAUCUAAAUGAAUGUCAUAUGCCAAUAUCGGAUUAUUAAGAAUUUGGAUUUCACAUUUAGGGAAAUGUUUCUUAGUUCAUACAUGUAAGACGAGGAAAGCUAUUAUCUUUUUGGUCGACUAAAGGUUGGUUUUUAUGGAUCACCCCGUCUCUUGAAAUUGCACCAUGUCUGAAGCCGUAUCUGAAGCAUAGCCUGAACUGACCAUUCUGUACCUUUUGUGGGCUCUGCAACAGACGCACUCUGUACCAAGCAGUAAUCCUUGCCUUUAUCAACAUUCUAGACACAACACUGUUACAGAGAACUCAACCAGUUAGGGAUUAUGUAUAUUCAGCAAUUUCAACUUUUCAUGUAGCAUGAAAAUACUAUUGCAGGGAGUAAUUAAAAAAACCAAUGUGUUCGAAGGAGUCUCGUGAUUCUUUGACAGUCGCAAUUUCGACAUUGCUGUCAACUCCCAAUUUUCUCAGUGAACAAAAUUUCAGCCUUGUUACACAUACAGCUAGAGAUUCUGCACAUUGGCACAUAUUUAUUUUUGUGAGCUCUGCUUUACAUGCCACACUGGAGCACAAUACCACGAGAAUCAGGUUGUUUUCAUAUAAAAACAUGGACAUGUACAGUACCUUUAGACAUAGAUUGUUGAAAUGGAAUUUUAUCUACCAAUAAAAAAGAUUUAACAUGUUUAUUUGGCUAUUUGUUCUGCUCACUGCAAAAUGCAAAAAAAUGUGCAUUGUUACAUGUACAUGUAGACUAAGCGCUCGAAUUCUCAGUAAACAAUUCCCAAAUGAGAGAUACUGCCAUAUUCCUUUUUGGAUGCUGUGGGUUUGUGCACAUUCCAAUUAAAAUGUCCUGACUUCUCUGAA